rnacentral:rRNA from 1 species
AGUGAACGCUGGCGGCAGGCCUAAUACAUGCAAGUCGAACGGCAGCACGGCAGAGCUUGCUCUGUGGGUGGCGAGUGGCGGACGGGUGAGGAAUACAUGGGAAUCUGCCCAGUCGUGGGGGAUAACGUAGGGAAACUUACGCUAAUACCGCAUGCGCCCUUCGGGGGAAAGCCGGGGACCUUCGGGCCUGGCGCGAUUGGAUGAGCCCAUGUCGGAUUAGCUAGGUUGGCGGGGUAAUGGCCCACCAAGGCGACGAUCCGUAGCUGGUCUGAGAGGAUGAUCAGCCACACUGGAACUGAGACACGGUCCAGACUCCUACGGGAGGCAGCAGUAGGGAAUAUUGGACAAUGGGCGCAAGCCUGAUCCAGCCAUGCCGCGUGAGUGAAGAAGGCCCUCGGGUUGUAAAGCUCUUUUGUCCGGAAAGAAAAGCGCCGGGUUAAUACCCUGGUGUCCUGACGGUACCGGAAGAAUAAGCACCGGCUAACUUCGUG